CCUACGGGAGGCAGCAGUGGGGAAUCUUGCACAAUGGAGGAAACUCUGAUGCAGCGAUGCCGCGUGAGUGAAGAAGGCCUUUGGGUUGUAAAGCUCUUUCGUCGGGGAAGAAAAUGACUGUACCCGAAUAAGAAGGUCCGGCUAACUUCGUGCCAGCAGCCGCGGUAAUACGAAGGGACCUAGCGUAGUUCGGAAUUACUGGGCUUAAAGAGUUCGUAGGUGGUUGAAAUAGUUGGUGGUGAAAUCCCAGAGCUUAACUCUGGAACUGCCAUCAAAACUUUUCAGCUAGAGUAUGAUAGAGGAAAGCAGAAUUUCUAGUGUAGAGGUGAAAUUCGUAGAUAUUAGAAAGAAUACCAAUUGCGAAGGCAGCUUUCUGGAUCAUUACUGACACUGAGGAACGAAAGCAUGGGUAGCGAAGAGGAUUAGAUACCCUCGUAGUCCAUGCCGUAAACGAUGUGUGUUAGACGUUGGAAAUUUAUUUUCAGUGUCGCAGCGAAAGUGAUAAACACACCGCCUGGGGAGUACGACCGCAAGGUUAAAACUCAAAGGAAUUGACGG
rnacentral:rRNA from 1 species